rnacentral:rRNA from 1 species
GAUGAACGCUGGCGGCGUGCCUAAUACAUGCAAGUCGAGCGAACAGACGAGGAGCUUGCUCCUUUGACGUUAGCGGCGGACGGGUGAGUAACACGUGGGUAACCUACCUAUAAGACUGGGAUAACUUCGGGAAACCGGAGCUAAUACCGGAUAAUAUUUCGAACCGCAUGGUUCGAUAGUGAAAGAUGGCUUUGCUAUCACUUAUAGAUGGACCUGCGCCGUAUUAGCUAGUUGGUAAGGUAACGGCUUACCAAGGCAACGAUACGUAGCCGACCUGAGAGGGUGAUCGGCCACACUGGAACUGAGACACGGUCCAGACUCCUACGGGAGGCAGCAGUAGGGAAUCUUCCGCAAUGGGCGAAAGCCUGAUGGAGCAACGCCGCGUGAGUGAUGAAGGUCUUCGGAUCGUAAAACUCUGUUAUUAGGGAAGAACAAACGUGUAAGUAACUGUGCACGUCUUGACGGUACCUAAUCAGAAAGCCACGGCUAACUACGUG